rnacentral:rRNA from 1 species
ACUCCUACGGGAGGCAGCAGUGGGGAAUAUUGCACAAUGGGCGCAAGCCUGAUGCAGCCAUGCCGCGUGUGUGAAGAAGGCCUUCGGGUUGUAAAGCACUUUCAGUCGUGAGGAAGGUAGUGUAGUUAAUAGCUGCAUUAUUUGUACGUUAGCGACAGAAGAAGCACCGGCUAACUCCGUGCCAGCAGCCGCGGUAAUACGGAGGGUGCGAGCGUUAAUCGGAAUUACUGGGCGUAAAGCGCAUGCAGGUGGUUUGUUAAGUCAGAUGUGAAAGCCCGGGGCUCAACCUCGGAAUUGCAUUUGAAACUGGCAGACUAGAGUACUGUAGAGGGGGGUAGAAUUUCAGGUGUAGCGGUGAAAUGCGUAGAGAUCUGAAGGAAUACCGGUGGCGAAGGCGGCCCCCUGGACAGAUACUGACACUCAGAUGCGAAAGCGUGGGGAGCAAACAGGAUUAGAU